rnacentral:rRNA from 1 species
UACAGAGACUGCAAGCGUUAUUCGGAUUCACUGGGCGUAAAGGGUGCGCAGGCGGCCGAGUGUGUGAGGCGUGAAAGCCCGGGGCUUAACCCCGGAAUUGCACCUCAAACUACACGGCUAGAGCAUUGGAGAGGGUAGCAGAAUUCAUGGUGUAGCAGUGAAAUGCGUAGAUAUCAUGAGGACUACCAGAGGCGAAGGCGGCUACCUGGACAAUUGCUGACGCUCAGGCACGAAAGCGUGGGGAGCAAAAGGG